rfam:Dipodomys ordii contig_22220, whole genome shotgun sequence.
AGAUGUGAGGGCGAUCUGGAUGCAACACCUUUUACCCCAUUGAUCUCGAGGGUUGAUUAGGCUGAUCUGGCUGGCUAGGCCAGUGUUCCCUCCCUCCCUCACCACUCCAUGUGUGUCCCUCCCAGAGUCUCUCCCAAAGCUUUGUGCUUGGUCGAAGAGGACGACCAUCCCUAUCCCCAAAAGAGGUCCUCCGUCAAAGGUAGGUGCACUCCCCUGCUAGAACCUCCAUAUGACUGCUUCCAUAACCAAUGCAGUGACCCCGCACGACCUCUGGCUCUUGUCCUAGAACUCACUAAAACCUGCCUCUCACUUGAUUCAUCUUCAUAAGGAAGACACUUCCAUUCUGU